rnacentral:lncRNA from 1 species
UUACGACAGCACCUAUAUUCAGCAACUUCAUAGUGUUUAAAUGACUGUAUCAAGCCAAGAGUUUACUACAUAUGGUACUUUUCAAAGCCUACGUUCUCAACUUCAUCAACUGUAUCACAAUCUUUUACCGUCGUUGCCAAUAUGCUGCUUCAACAAUAUUUUGAGAUUUUUUUUUUGAUAAAAAAAAAAAAGAGUGAAGAGAGACGACCAGCAUAGCAACCUUCUCUGGGCAUGAUCAUGAGGGCCCCCACUUCGUUAGAGAAUAUUCGAUUCAAACGACUUGCACCACUCCUCAUCAUACAUGUGAUUAAGGCCAC